rnacentral:rRNA from 1 species
CCGGGCAAGCACAAAGGGUAAGUGGUGGAUGCCUUGACACCAAAUGGCGAUGAAGGACGCAGUGUAGUUGCGAUAAGCUUCGGGGAGGUGCGUAGCAACCGACGAUCCGGAGAUUUCCGAAUGGGGAAACCCUGCCGAGCAAACCUCGGCAACCAGAUACCGCAUGGUAUCUGGAGCGCACCCAGGGAACUGAAACAUCUAAGUACCUGGUGGAAAAGAAACUAAAAAGUAUUCCCUAAGUAGCGGCGAGCGAAAGGGGAGAAGCCUAAACCUGCGUGCUUCGCACGCGAUAUUGAAAUAUUUAAAUAUUUAAAUAUUGCGCGCGGAGCGCGUAGGGGUUGCAAGACCUGGACGUUUUUUGAACUUUUGACAUGUGACCUUUGACAUUUGACUCAGUUAAUUGUCAAUUGUCAGGUGUUAAUUGUCUUGAAAAAGAUUGGUAAAAAAUGAGCGCGUUAGCAGAAGCCGCUGGAAAGCGGCCCCAGAGACGGUGAUAGGCCGGUACGCGAAAACACGCUCACCAAUUUGUCUUUGUUCUUAAGUACCUCAUGGCCAGAUAACCUUGAGGGAAUCCGGGAGUACUAUCUCCUAAGGCUAAAUACAUUUGGUGAUCGAUAGUGAACUAGUACCGUGAGGGAAAGGUGAAAAGCAGUCCGGUUAGGACGAUGAAAUAGUAUCUGAAACCACUUACUUACAAGGAGGCGGAGCUCAUACUUGUGCUUCGCACAAGUCGCGGAAGAACGCAGAACACACGCAGACAUCGCGGAAUUAGUUUUCCGCGUAGUUCAGCGUACUGUCUGCGUAGGUCUGCGCCUUGCGCGGAGCGCAAAGGAGUGACGCCGUGCCUAUUGAAGAAUGAGUCAGCGAGUUUAUAUAUGCCGCAAGUUUAACCCCGCUUGACGGGGGAAGGCGCAGGGAAACCAAGUCUUAAUAGGGCGAUCUAAGCGGCAUGUGUAAGACCCGAAACCAGGCGAGCUUACCUUGGUCAGGGUGAAACGUUGCCGAAAGGCGCGUGGAGGCCCGCACCGGUUGAUUGUGCAAAAUCUUCGGAUGAACUGAGGUAAGGAGUGAAAAGCUAAUCGAGCUUGGUAAUAGCUGGUUCUCUCCGAAAUAGCUUUCGGGCUAGCGUCCGUUAAAUAGUCCUUCGCAGGUAGAGCUACUGGUUGAAGCGGAAAGGGAGAAAUCUCGCCUCUUCAGUCAAACUCCAAAUGGCGGUGGAUGUUCGCGGGCAGUCAGAACGUGGGGGCUAAGCUCCAUGUUCGAGAGGGAAAGAGCCCUGACCGUCGUCUAAGGUCCCUAAAUCUAUGCUAAGUGUAAAAGGUGGUCUUUGUCCUAAGACAGAUAGAAGGUUGGCCCAGAGGUAGCCAUCCUUUAAAGAGUGUGUAACAACCCACUAUUCGAGGACAUUGGCGCCGAAAAUUUAUCGGGGCUUAAGCAUGGUGCCGAAGACACGGAUACCUUGUGCUUUGCACAAGGUCGCAGACACACGCAGAAUGAACGCAGACCUACGCAGACAAUAAAUUUUGUCAGCGUGAGUCCGCGUCUAGUCAGCGUAAGUCAGCGACCUCGCGCAAAGCGCGAGGUAUGGUAGGAGAGCAUUCCCAGCGCGCUGAAGGCAGAUCCGUGAGGACUGCUGGAGUGCUGGGAAGAGAGAAUGCUGACAUGAGUAAUCGCAAGGCCGGUGAAAAACCGGCCCCCCGCAAGCCCAAGGUUUCCUCCGCAACGAGCAUCGUCGGAGGGUUAGGCGACCCUAAGGUAAUGGCGAAAGCCGGAGCCGAUGGCAAAGCUGGUUAAUAUUCCAGCCCCUCUUUUUCUCUUUGUCCGAUGGGGGGACGGAGCGUAGUAGAAGAAUCUUCUUAAUGGUUUGGAGUCCCUGAUCGAGAGUGGAACGUAGGCAAAUCCGCGUUCCUGUGUUUAAUCGCAAACUCCAGAGUAGGGGCGAGUGGAAGGGUUUCCUUUCGCAAGUUCUUCGAGCGCGCUUCCAAGAAAAACCUCUAAGGUUGAGGAAGAGAGUCCGUACCGUAAACCGACACCGGUGGGCGAGGCGAGUAGCCUCAGGGGAACGGGUGAGUCCUCGUUAUGCAACUCGGAAAAAAAGCGACCGUAACUUCGGGAUAAGGUCUGCCUGCGCAUCACACUGCGUGUGAUGCUGAUAUUUAAAUAUUGAAAUGUUUAAAUAUCGCAUCGCGCCCAGCGCGAUGCGUGGGCUGCAACAAAAGUAUCUCUGGCGACUGUUUACCAAAAACACAGCUCCCUGCGAACUCGUAAGAGGAUGUAUAGGGGGUGACACCUGACCGAUGCGAGAAGGUUAACGCUGGGGGUCGUGCCGCAAGGCACGGCUCACUGGCCGAAGCCCUCGUCAAUGUCAGCGGUAACUAUAACCGUUCUAAGGUAGCGCAUUUCCUUUCCGGGUAAGUUCCGGAGCGCACGAAAGGUGUAACGACUGGAGAACUGUCUCAACGAGGAGCCCGAUGAAAAUGCGAUACCCGUGAAGACGCGGGUUACCGACAGCAAGACGAAAAGACCCCGGGAGCUUUACUGCAGCUUGAUAUUGGCUCUAAUGGGUACAUGCGUAGCAUAGUGGGGAGGCAUUGAAGUCCUGAUUCCGGUCAGGGUGGAGCCGCCAGUGAAAUACCCAUCUUGUAAUUAUUAGCGUCUAACCCGAUACGCAAAACGUAUUGGAGACUGUGUCUGGCGGGCAGUUUAUCUGGGGCGGAUUCCUCCCAAAGAGUAACGGAGGAGUUUAUUAAGGUGGACUUAGCCCG